UUAGCAACACGAAGCGUUGGGAUGACCUCGGAGAGGGUGCAAGCUCAACAAAGAGUACCGGGGAGAAUAUUAUUUUUGACCCAAAAUAGCAUUCGAUUUGAAGCUUUAACGACAUAACCCCUUUUACACGCCCCCACACGGGCCAGCAUGGUGCAUUAGGGGAAAGGGAAGAUAAUGCAAAAGAAAGAAGAUCGGGCUCUCAAAGCACCACCACCA
rnacentral:lncRNA from 1 species